UGGCCAAGUUUUUAAGGGCGCACGGUGGAUGCCUUGGCACCAGGAACCGAUGAAGGACGUGGGAGGCCGCGAUAGGCCCCGGGGAGCUGUCAACCGAGCUUUGAUCCGGGGGUGUCCGAAUGGGGAAACCCGG
rnacentral:rRNA from 1 species